AUGCAGUUCGAGCAAGGCAUGGCGACAAUCCUGCUGCUCCUACUCAGCAGCCUCACACCAUUCCUGGCGGCAGCCGAUGUAUUCUGCGACAACGUUAAGGUCCUUGCUGCCACCCUCCCCAACAAAACCUCCACUUCCCCAGUACACUUUGCCACUGCCACCGUCGGCCAAGCCCCCGACAUCGUGUAUGCGCUUGCGCUCUGCCGUGGUGAUGUCCUCAAUGACACAACCUGUGCCGAGUGCAUCACCAACGUAUUCGGCAAAGUGCAGAACGCUAUGCCGCCAGAGGUAGAGUGCUUCAGGGCUGCCUCCUACUUUGCUGAUUGUAUCCUCAUCUACAACUCCAAAGACAUCCUCGCCCCGUCAUUCACCAAUAGCACAGAAGGAGAAAAUGGUGGCGACCCUCCUUUUGAGAGGUGGAAUGUCAGAAAUGUCACCGGCAACGUGCCUCUCAUCACCGGUCUCAUGCACGAGCUGCUGGUGGAGACUGUGGAGAAGGCAGCCAGCGCGUCGCCGAGGCGGUUCGCCACCGGUGUCGUGGACAGUGGCACAAACUUCCCGAAGGUGUACUCCUUGGCGCAGUGCACGCCGGACCUGUCUUCCGGGGACUGUCUAGAGUGCUUGCAACAUCUCCUUGGCAUGAUCAACUCCACCAUGUCCCUCCGCAUGUGGGAACAGAUGGGUGUGAUACGGUGUUAUUUCAGGUAUGAUGCGUCUCAGUUCUAUCAAGGCCAACCAAUGAUAAGUCUGGGGCCGCUAGCUCCAACUCCGACCCAACACAAGAGGCGUAUGAACAAGCUGUGGGUAAUUCCCAUAGUUUUAAUACCUCUAGCUGCAGCAACAUUUCUCUUCUUCAUCUUGUACUAUCGUCGGAUCACAAAACAAAGAAAAGGUGAAGUGAUGAGGUUACAAGGAUCAAGACGUUCUCGGUAUUUGGAAGGAGAGGAACAACUAGUUUGGCAAGGCAAAAAUUCAGAGUUCAUGGUGUUUGACUUCCAACAGCUACUACAGGCCACAAAUAAUUUUUCGGAAGAAAACAAACUUGGACAGGGUGGAUUUGGUGCUGUAUACAAGGGCAAGCUUGCUGAUGGAUUGGAGAUAGCAGUUAAAAGACUUUCUUCACAUUCAGGACAAGGCUUCAUAGAAUUUAAAAAUGAAGUCCAGCUCAUAGCCAAACUACAACACAGUAAUUUGGUUAGGCUCUUUGGAUGUUGCUCCCUAGAAGAGGAGAAAAUAUUAGUGUAUGAAUACUUGCCCAACAAAAGCUUGGAUUUCUUUAUCUUUGAUGAAAAAAGAAGAGCUUUACUUGAUUGGUCCAAACUUGUAGCAAUAGUGGAAGGCAUAGCACAUGGACUUCUUUACCUACAUAAGCACUCCCGGUUACGUAUCAUACAUCGAGAUCUUAAACCAAGUAACAUUCUCUUGGAUAGCGAAAUGAAUCCAAAGAUUUCAGAUUUUGGUCUAGCAAAAAUUUCCAGCUCAGAUAGCAGUGAAGGAAACACUACUAGAAGAGUGGUUGGUACAUAUGGCUACAUGUCCCCUGAGUAUGCUUCGGAGGGUGUCUUCUCUAUUAAAUCGGACGUCUUCAGUUUUGGUGUUAUUAUUUUUGAGAUACUUAGCGGAAAGCGGAAUUCUGGUAGCCAGCAAUAUGGUGAUUUCAUCAAUCUUCUUGGAUAUGCAUGGCAAUUAUGGGAAGAGGGAAGGGGAAUUGACCUUCUUGAUACAUCAUUGGUUCCCAAAGAUCAAUCGCCGAAGAUUAUGAGAUACAUUAAUAUAGCAUUAUUAUGUGUACAAGAGAACGCAGCCGAUCGGCCAACCAUGACAGAUGUUAUAGCAAUGCUAUGCACCGACGAUAUGAACAUCGACGAACCUAAGCAGCCGGCAUAUUUCAACAUAAGGGUCGGAAAUGAAGAGGAGUCUACUGCCACAGAGUCAUGUAGUAUUAACGACAUGACCAUAUCUGUCGCAAUUCCUAGAUAG
rnacentral:rRNA from 1 species